rnacentral:lncRNA from 1 species
AUGAGAACAGGUCUAUGUCCUGAUCUAACCUGCACUUGUGUCUUUAUUGUGCCUUGUGUGCUUAUACCCCUAAACCACAUCAGCACCAGAGGCCUUGCUAAGGGAUGUGAUGUCCAAUGGUUGAUUUUGGCAGUGGAAGGCUGGGCUGAGUCAGGAAUAUAUGAGCAGGUUCCUCUAGUAGCAACCACCCUUGGACAAGAGACUAUCACAAAGGCACCCAAAAAUGAGGAACUUUCACUAGAGGUGAUGGGGUGGUAAAAAUCUUGUAAAUUUUGGAAGACGUCUCAUAAGGAUUCAUUCAUUCCUGAAACAUGAACUACUGAGCACAGAAUUUAUGAUGUAAUCAUGUUUAGAAGAGAGUACUGAAAGCCAAAUGUGUGGAAGGUGGCAGAUUUACCCUUAAAACUGGAUCUAUCUCCCAAACAUGAAGAUAGCCAAGGUGUGUC